UGCUCUGGUGGCAAAGUGGUUAGAGCGUCCGCCUCGGAUGCAGGAGGUCACGGGUUCGAACCCCGGCCGAGUGA